rnacentral:tRNA from 2 species
GGCCGGGUAGCUCAGUCGGUAGAGCAGGGGACUGAAAAUCCCUGUGUCGGCAGUUCAAUUCUGUCCCCGGCCACCA